UACGUAGGGGGCAAGCGUUGUUCGGAAUCACUGGGCGUAAAGGGAGAGUAGGCGGGAAAAUAAGUUAGGAGUUUAAUGUCCGGGCUUAACCCGGAAUCUGCUUCUAAUACUGUUUUUCUUGAGUAUUGGAGAGGGAGAUGGAAUUCCAGGUGUAGCGGUGGAAUGCGUAGAUAUCUGGAAGAACACCAGCUGCGAAGGCGGUCUCCUGGCCAAAUACUGACGCUGAUGCUCGAAAGCUAGGGGAGCAAACAGG
rnacentral:rRNA from 1 species